GACUUGAGGUGUGCUGGACUUGUAUUAGUUCGGCUCCCUUUUUAAAUGCAUUAGCGGAGCCACUCGCUUCCGGCUAACAUCGACGUGAUAAUCAUCUUACGUCGUUGUCUACCGGUUCCAGAGUCUGCUUAUAAUAGUCUUCUGACAAUACAUAAUGACAAUUUGACCUCAAAUCAGGUAGGACUACCCGCUGAACUUAA
rnacentral:misc_RNA from 1 species